GGUUCGAUUCGGCUCAGAUUGAACGCUGGCGGGAUGCUUUACACAUGCAAGUCGAACGGCAGCACGGACUUCGGUCUGGUGGCAGAUGGCGAACGGUGAAAUGUAUCGGAACGUGCCCUGUGUGGGGGAUAACUACGCGAAGCGUAGCUAAUACCGCAUACGCCCUUCGGGGAAAAGCGGGGACCUUCCGGGCAUCGCACUGUGGAAGCGGCCGAUAUCGGAUUAGCUAGUUGGUGGGGUAACGGCUCUGCCAAGGCGACGAUCCGUAGCUGGUUUGAAGGACGACCAGCCACACUGGGACUGGGGCACGGCCCAGACUCCUACAGGAGGCAGCAGUGGGGAAUUUUGGACAAUGGGGAAACCCUGAUCCAGCCAUCCCGCGUGUGCGAUGAAGGCCUUCGGGUUGUAAAGCACUUUUGGCAGGAAAGAAACGGCACGGGAUAAUACCCGUGCAACUGACUGAUACCUGCAGAAUAAGCACCGGCUAACUACGUGCCAGCAGCCGCGGUAAUACGUAGGUGCAGCGUUAAUCGGAAUUACAGGCGUAAAGCGUGCGCAGGCGGUUCGGAAAGAAGAUGUGAAAUCCCAGAGCUUAACUGGAACUGCAUUUUUUUUAACUACCGAGCUAGGAGUGUGUCAGAGGUGGAAUUCCGCGUGUAGCAGUGAAAUGCGUAGAUAUGCGGGAGAAUUUACCGAUGGCGAGGCAGCCUCCUGGGAUAACACUGACGCUCAUGCACGAAAAGCGUGGGGAGCAAGCAGGAUUAGAUACUGGUAGUCCACGCCCUAAACGAUGUCAACUAGCUGUUGGGGCCUUCGGGCCUUGGUAGCGCAAUAACGCGUGAAGUUGACCGCCUGGGAGAGUACGGUCGCAAGAUUAAAACUCAAGAUUGACGGGGACCCGCACAAGCGGUGGACGAUGUGGAUUAAUUCGAUGCAACGCGAAAAGAAACCUUACCUACCCUUGACAUGUCUGGAAUCCCGAAGAGAUUUGGGAGUGCUCGCAAGAGAACCGGAACACAGGUGCUGCAUGGCUGUCGUCA
rnacentral:misc_RNA from 1 species